GUGGGGCGCUGACGCGCUCCUCCCCGGAGCGUAUGGCAGCGCAGCGCCGGACGGGGCGUUCUCCCUCCCCCCCUCCUCUCGCUUCCAUCUCCGCCGUCUCCUCGGUCUCCCUUCCCAUCCCGGCCCCUCCUCCGCCAGCCGCGUCCUCCCGGGCUUGGUGAGGAACUGUUCCUGGAGGAGCCGCGGGACGCCAAAACCAGCCAAUGGGAAGCGGCGAUUCGCGGAGAUUGGCACUGAUGAUGGGAAGGAAUAUUGAUCUCAGCGUUACUUUGACCAUUAAUGAAUUAUGAUGGCAAUAAGCAAAGAUUCGCACCUCUAGCCUCCGGGGAGCUUAAUCUUCUGCUACAACAUUUGCAUUUGGUGUCUCUCUACUGCUCAGGCUGGAGUGCAGUGGUGCGAUCAUAGCUCACUGCAGCCUCGACUUCCUGGGCUCAGGUGACCCUCUCGCCUGAAACCAUAUUCCCCCUCAAGUAGCUGAGACUACAGAGACAAGGUCUCACUAUGUUGCCUAGGCUGGUCUUCAACUCCUGGCCUGAAGUUAUCCUCUCAUCUUGGACUGCCAAAGUGCUGGGAUUUGGCACCACUGAGCCAAAUCCCAGGCGUGAGCCACUGAGCCUGGGCUGUUCUUCCUUCUUUAUAGGCUUAAAAACCUUCAAAAAUUAUCUCAAGAUUAUCCACUCCAGGAAGAACUUGAGCCUCAUUGAUUGAAUUGGUGUACUUCUCCUCCCUUCCUAUAGCAUUUUCUUUAUGUGUCUAUCCUAGCACUUCUCACACAGUGUUGAAUUCAUCUGUCCACCUGGCUCAUCAUACAAAUUGUUCCAUGAGUUCAAGGAUCAUGCUGCAUGCUGGAUUCCCCCGGAAGCUGAUUCUGAGAUGGAGUUUAGUGUACUAAAUAUUUAUGUGGGCCUUUGGAUCAUCACCUGUGAAAAGGAAGAGAAGGAAGCAGGAGUGGACCUAGGGUGAAGUGAAGCUCUGAUGCAAACCUGACAACUGCCUCACCUGACACCAUGAAGAGCUCUGGAGCUAGAAUGGCCUUUUGUUGUUCUGAAUUGGUGUGAGGUAGCUAGGUCUUUACACCCCUGCCACCACCCAUUAUUGGGUAUGGGCCAACCAGGAAGGGGCAUGACCAUGAGUGAUGCAGCUCUGCAGCUGAAGCAAUAACUGAAGAGGCUGACAGCUGAGGGCCAUCUGCUGACAGUACUCCCUGCAGCUGGGCAGCACAUCCUUUCUCAAAAGGGGAUCAAGGCAGUUGCAUCUCCGUGUCCACCAUGGACUAUAUAUUUUUUCUUUGCAUUCCUAGGGCCUCCCAUAGUAUAUGGCACAUAGUAGGCAAAACUGGAGGUCUGUAGGGCAAAUUCAGCUAGUAGAUGAGUAUUGUUUUUUCACCCACAAAGAGAUUUUUAAAAAUUAGUUGUCAACAUUUAAAAAUAAAAAGAUUUCACAUUGAA
rnacentral:lncRNA from 1 species